AACGAACGCUGGCGGCAUGCCUAACACAUGCAAGUCGAACGAGACCUUCGUGUCUAGUGGCGCACGGGUGCGUAACGCGUGGGAACCUGCCUUUAGGUUCGGAAUAACUCAGAGAAAUUUGAGCUAAUACCGGAUGAUGUCUUCGGACCAAAGAUUUAUCGCCUUUAGAUGGGCCCGCGUUGGAUUAGCUUGUUGGUGGGGUAAAGGCCUACCAAGGCGACGAUCCAUAGCUGGUCUGAGAGGAUGAUCAGCCACACUGGGACUGGGACACGGCCGAGACUCCUAGGGGAGGGAGGAGUGGGGAAUAUUGGACAUUGGGCGAAGGCCUGAUCCAGCAAUGCCGCGUGAGUGAUGAAGGCCUUAGAGUUGUAAAGCUCUUUUACCCGAGAUGAUACUGACGGUAUCGGGAGAAUAAGCUCCGGCUAACUCCGUG
rnacentral:rRNA from 1 species